UCGGAAUCUGUGCAGACGACCCGCGAACCCGUUUCAUCAUCGGGGGGGAGCACGGGUGCGAGAGCCUCGUGGUCCCCCUCCGCAGUCGGAUCGACGGCGCCUGCGCCCUCGCUCCGUCGGCAAAAUAACGAACCCCGGCGCGGACCGCGCCAAGGAAACUUAACAAGAGAGCGUGCCCUUGCCUCCCCGGAAACGGUGUGUGCGCUUGUGGCAUCGCCUUCUCUCACUAUUU
rnacentral:misc_RNA from 1 species